AUUGAACGCUGGCGGCAUGCUUUACACAUGCAAGUCGAACGGUAACAGGUUAAGCUGACGAGUGGCGAACGGGUGAGUAAUGCAUCGGAACGUGCCCGGUCGUGGGGGAUAACGCAGUGAAAGCUGCGCUAAUACCGCAUACGAUCUGAGGAUGAAAGCGGGGGACCGUAAGGCCUCGCGCGAUCGGAGCGGCCGAUGUCAGAUUAGGUAGUUGGUGGGGUAAAGGCUCACCAAGCCAACGAUCUGUAGCUGGUCUGAGAGGACGACCAGCCCCACUGGGACUGAGACACGGCCCAGACUCCUACGGGAGGCAGAAGUGGGGAAUUUUGGACAAUGGGCGAAAGCCUGAUCCAGCAAUGCCGCGUGCAGGAAGAAGGCCUUCGGGUUGUAAACUGCUUUUGUACGGAGCGAAAAGGUCUCCUCUAAUACAGGGGGCUCAUGACGGUACCGUAAGAAUAAGCACCGGCUAACUACGUGCCAGCAGCCGCCGUAA
rnacentral:rRNA from 1 species